GACGAACGCUGGCGGCGUGCUUAACACAUGCAAGUCGAACGGAAAGGCCCUGCUUUUGUGGGGUGCUCGAGUGGCGAACGGGUGAGUAACACGUGAGUAACCUGCCCUUGACUUUGGGAUAACUUCAGGAAACUGGGGCUAAUACCGGAUAGGAGCUCCUGCUGCAUGGUGGGGGUUGGAAAGUUUCGGCGGUUGGGGAUGGACUCGCGGCUUAUCAGCUUGUUGGUGGGGUAGUGGCUUACCAAGGGUUUGACGGGUAGCCGGCCUGAGAGGGGAACCGGCCACAUGAGGACUGAGAUACGGCCCAGACUCCUACGGGAGGCAGCAGUGGGGAAUAUUGCACAAUGGGCGGAAGCCUGAUGCAGCAACGCCGCGUGCGGGAUGACGGCCUUCGGGUUGUAAACCGCUUUCGCCUGUGACGAAGCGUGAGUGACGGUAAUGGGUAAAGAAGCACCGGCUAACUACGUG
rnacentral:rRNA from 1 species